GUACUUGUUUUCUAUGACCUCACUAGACCUUUAGCUACCACAUCACUAUGCAGAUAAGUGUCUUUCUUUGAACAACAUAUUGCUUUAAGUAAUGUGAAUAUUUUUUGCUACAACUAUCAACAUGAUGCAAAAUGGAAAUCAUUUUCGUAUUUUUGAUUAUUCUCCUGAGAUAUGGAUGUUUAGGAGAAGUCUUGGAAACGGACAAAGAAUGUUUUAUUCCCGACAAUGAUAUUAAAAUUAAAAUUAACCCUUACCUUCAAGACACGUGUACAAAUUUCACAGCCGUUGAACUAUUAGUUUGUAAAGAAAAGUAAGUAAGUAAAGUAAAUUUUAUUCAGGUAAGCAUAAUCUACAAUAUGAAUUCAAAAUUAAAACUAGCCAACUUGAGAAACUAGAAAAAAAAAGAAAAGAAAUAACUAAAACUGGAAAAUGUGAGUCUAGGCCAAGCUACCUAAGCAAUGCUUGUGUUGUAGUCAUCAACCUGGAUUACAUUGAUUAUUUACAUAUUGAGUGGUGAGUAGAAAGAA